rnacentral:rRNA from 1 species
AGUAACACGUGAGUAACCUGCCCUUAACUCUGGGAUAAGCCUGGGAAACUGGGUCUAAUACCGGAUAGGAGCGCCGACCGCAUGGUGGGUGUUGGAAAGAUUUAUCGGUUUUGGAUGGACUCGCGGCCUAUCAGCUUGUUGGUGAGGUAAUGGCUCACCAAGGCGACGACGGGUAGCCGGCCUGAGAGGGUGACCGGCCACACUGGGACUGAGACACGGCCCAGACUCCUACGGGAGGCAGCAGUGGGGAAUAUUGCACAAUGGGCGCAAGCCUGAUGCAGCGACGCCGCGUGAGGGAUGACGGCCUUCGGGUUGUAAACCUCUUUCAGUAGGGAAGAAGCGAAAGUGACGGUACCUGCAGAAGAAGCACCGGCUAACUACGUGCCAGCAGCCGCGGUAAUACGUAGGGUGCGAGCGUUAUCCGGAAUUAUUGGGCGUAAAGAGCUCGUAGGCGGUUUGUCGCGUCUGUCGUGAAAGUCCGGGGCUUAACCCCGGAUCUGCGGUGGGUACGGGCAGACUAGAGUGCAGUAGGGGAGACUGGAAUUCCUGGUGUAGCGGUGGAAUGCGCAGAUAUCAGGAGGAACACCGAUGGCGAAGGCAGGUCUCUGGGCUGUAACUGACGCUGAGGAGCGAAAGCAUGGGGAGCGAACAGGAUUAGAUACCCUGGUAGUCCAUGCCGUAAACGUUGGGCACUAGGUGUGGGGACCAUUCCACGGUUUCCGCGCCGCAGCUAACGCAUUAAGUGCCCCGCCUGGGGAGUACGGCCGCAAGGCUAAAACUCAAAGGAAUUGACGGGGGCCCGCACAAGCGGCGGAGCAUGCGGAUUAAUUCGAUGCAACGCGAAGAACCUUACCAAGGCUUGACAUGUUCUCGAUCGCCGUAGAGAUACGGUUUCCCCUUUGGGGCGGGUUCACAGGUGGUGCAUGGUUGUCGUCAGCUCGUGUCGUGAGAUGUUGGGUUAAGUCCCGCAACGAGCGCAACCCUCGUUCCAUGUUGCCAGCACGUAAUGGUGGGGACUCAUGGGAGACUGCCGGGGUCAACUCGGAGGAAGGUGAGGACGACGUCAAAUCAUCAUGCCCCUUAUGUCUUGGGCUUCACGCAUGCUACAAUGGCCGGUACAAUGGGUUGCGAUACUGUGAGGUGGAGCUAAUCCCAAAAAGCCGGUCUCAGUUCGGAUUGGGGUCUGCAACUCGACCCCAUGAAGUCGGAGUCGCUAGUAAUCGCAGAUCAGCAACGCUGCGGUGAAUACGUU